rnacentral:misc_RNA from 1 species
AGAAGGAGAAGCCAAGGUCUUAAGCUUCUCGGUUUUCCAAGAUAGAUUGUGUCUCUAUUUUGUUCAAUUCUCGUCCGAGGAUGAACAAUUGAUGCUCGCUCUCCCCUUUGUCACUAGUUAAGUUAGAUUACUCGGUCAGCAGAUAGAAACUUAUGCACGCAACCCUUUUGUUGAGACUUGAUAAAGCAUAAUUUUCUUUGCAAUCAGAACAGAUUUUGUUAUGGUUAAUUUGAGUGUAAUACAUGCCCUUCCCUUUCCUA